UUAACACUUCUACAUCUUAUUUCUAAUGAUAGCAGUUUUACUUUCUCGUUUCAGAUAACACUUUUCAUCUGACUGUCGACAAGCCAUACAACUAGAAAAUUAGCAGCACACAGCUAUUCAAAAUUUUGGUAGGGGAUAGUUCUUCGCUAUUCAAAAUAUCCUUAUUUUGGCGCGACGACCUCGACAAGGAAAGAAACACAUCUCGUCAUUUUGCAAGAAUGAAUAUCGUUACAAGUACAUGUACUGAAAAGAUGAGUAUAAGUAGUUGGCUUACACUCGCCAUAAGCUACAUCAAGAUCACAUCAACACAACAAUAUACAAUCAUCAUGAAGAAGAGCAGGGUCCGACUACGUACAAAAACAAACGAUAAAAAACGACGUCCAUCCUUGCUAUCCCAGGCUGCUGGCCUAGAGCCCAACCUAGACCGAUGAAGAAGAAGAAGAAGAAAAUUCCAAAAGCACAAUCAUCGCGCUCACAUCUUAAUAUCACUUUACUUGUACCUGCAACUGGUGUUGUAGUAAUCUGUGAGCCACAGGGACUCAGCAA
rnacentral:lncRNA from 1 species